rnacentral:rRNA from 1 species
AGAGUUUGAUCAUGGCUCAGAAUGAACGCUGGCGGCGUGCUUAACACAUGCAAGUCGAACGAGAAAGGGAUUGCUUGCAAUCCUGAGUAGAGUGGCGCACGGGUGAGUAACACGUAGAUAAUCUACCUUCAAACCUGAAAUAACUAUUCGAAAGGAUAGCUAAUACCGGAUAAAGUGGUUUAACAUAAGUUAAAUAAUGAAAGAUUGCCUCUUCUUGAAAGCAAUUGUUUGGAGAUGAGUCUGCGGACCAUUAGUUUGUUGGUGGGGUAAAGGCCUACCAAGACUGCGAUGGUUAGCUGGUCUGAGAGGAUGAUCAGUCACACUGGAACUGGAACACGGUCCAGACUCCUACGGGAGGCAGCAGUGAGGAAUUUUGCGCAAUGGGGGAAACCCUGACGCAGCAACGCCGCGUGAGUGAAGAAGGCCUUUGGGUCGUAAAGCUCUGUCAACUGGGAAGAAAUUAUAACAAUCUAACAGGUAGUUGUAUUGACGGUACCAGUGGAGGAAGCGCCGGCUAACUCCGUGCCAGCAGCCGCGGUAACACGGGGGGCGCAAGCGUUAUUCGGAAUUAUUGGGCGUAAAGGGCGCGUAGGCGGUCUUGUCGGUCA